UCUCGUUUGCCAACAAAAUUACAUUGGUUGCUGUGCUUGGAUUAAAACUAUAGCCACUAAUGUAAUGUAAUGUGACGAAAUCUUAUCUUCUCAUUUUAGACUCCUGUUCACGCCAUACGACUUGAACCCCCAUCCUUCUGGCCCCGGAUCUGCGGCGUGGGGCUCUUGGGGAUGCUGGGCCUGUUUCCCCCUCCUCCUCUUAGGAAGUGGAGUGGCUGGAGUUGGGGUGCGUCCGACACAACCUGAAGCUGAACACGAGAUGAGAGAGAUGAUCGUGGACUUCAGGAGGCAUCCUGUGCCAACCAUCGAGACCUUCAAGUUACUGGGAAUGACAGUCUCUCAGGACCUGAAGUGGGAGACCAACAUCAACUCUAUCUUCAAAAAGGCCCAGCAGAGAAUGUACUUCCUGCGGCUUCUGAGGAAGCACUGCCUGCCACAGGAGAUGUUGAGGCACCACAGCAGUCAUCGAAUCAGUCCUCUGUUCAUCCAGCACAGUCUGGUUUGGUGCUGCCACAAAAAAGGACAAACUCCGACUGCAAGGGACAAUCAAAACUUCUGAAAAAAUUGUCGGUACCCCCCCUACCCACCAUUGAGGACUUGCACGCUGCCAGAACUAAGACGAUGCAAAAUCCUCCACAUCCUGGUCAACACCUCUUCCAGCUCCUUCCCUUAGGUAGGCGCUAUCAAACAAUGCAAACUAAAACUAGCAGACAUUCCAACAGCUUCUUCCCUCUUGCCAUUAACUUCUUAAACAGUUAAAUUAAGUUAAAUGCCAUCGUAACAUGCUGACAAUUUUGUCUCGACAUUGUUGUCACAUCUCUGUUGGGCCAAUUAUACAUUAUUUGUGGACUCAGUGUAGUAGUCCCGUCACUCUGCCCUAUUUGCAUAUCUGCUGUUGACCAAUACUGGCCACUCAUAUUCUUGAGAAGUAUCUGCAUCAUUUGCACAAUUGAGACUGUUCCAGAUUAUCGCACUACUGGUCACUUGAAUCAUCUUAAAAUUCUCAAAGUCUCUGCAUCUUUUGCACAAUGGUCACUGGACCAGAUUAUCCCUCUAUUAGUCAUUUUACACUGCUCUCAAUUGUUAAAAGACUGCAUCAUUUGCACAGUUGUCAAAAACUGAAAAGAAAACAAUUGUAUCGGCAUUACCACAUUACCGCUAACCUUUCACUACUCAGUGACUGUGUUUUUUAUGUUUUUGUCGCCGAAGUAUUUUCUAUCAAAUGUCUGUCUGUUGUCGUACUAGAGUGGCUCUAACUACUGGAGGCAAAUUCCUUGUGUGUUUUUGACAUACUUGGCAAAUAAAGAUGAUUCUGAUUCUGAA